CAGGGAAAAAAUUAGUCAUUCGUUUGGAGACGAAAUAUAAAACCCAAAGCGUUUCGUGACGAUUCUCGUUUUGUUUUGUGUUAUUAUUUAAAGUAAUUUUAUUUAAGUUUUUUUGAUCCCGCGAGUCAUCACUUAAUUGUGCCGUGUGUGAAGCAUAGACAGUUAAAUUCAGGAACUGUGUUUGCGAAGUAACCACACUUCUUUGCUGCGUGUGGGACUGAGGAGAGUUCGUCGCGUCUUCCCGACGGAUCGUGACAGCACGUGGAGUGCGUGAGGAACGUAAGAUCGUCUCACUGAUUUUCAUCAGAAGAACGAAAAGAGGAAAAUACCGGCCUAAUUCACCAUCUAAUUGUCGGGGAUCCAGGAUUCUUCUGGGACAAAUAUGAAAUUAACCCCUUGGGAAUUGCAAGAAUGAGUGCCUCACCUUAGGAGCUGAAAUGGGAACAAUAUGUGGACUCAAUAGGCAAACUACUUCAACUGCAUCAAAAGGUUGAGGAAAUAACACGAAAAUAGAUU